UUUUCAAAUGAUUUUAAAAAAGUUUCCUACUUUUCUAUUCUGCUGGUCCCUUUUUCAAGAGAAAAAAAAAACCAAAAACUAUUUCCUUCCCCUUUUUCAUUUUCAUUUCUAUGAAACAAACCUCUCUCUCACCAAGUUCAAGUGAGAAAGCUCCUAUUUUGCCCUCCGAGUACUCGUCCCCCUCUUCUUUUCCAUAGCCUAAACGAGAAACCUUAGGGGUUUCGUGGCCCUUUUGGAUCGGGGAAUCUCCAAUGGGGGCGGGACGCGAAGAAUAGGUAGUGAGUGAAGAAGGAACAACCACCCAUGUUUUUGGCCUGAAAAUCUGGGAAGUGGGUGCCCCAAAUCAUGUAAUCUGUUUGAAGGACCAAAUCACAAAUGCAGCAAAACUUCUGGGGCUAAAUGUAAUUUUUAGAAAAUUUAGGGUUAAAUGUAAUUUAAGGAAAGUUCAGGGGUCUAAGAUGUAAUUUUUUUGAAAUUUUUUCAUUUUUUAUUUUAUUUUAUUGAAAUUUUAGAACUUAAACACGAAUUCUAGUCGGACAAAAAUUUAGUGCUUACACUAUUAAUCUUGUAAUAAAUAUUUUCUCAUACUA